GACGAACGCUGGCGGCGUGCUUAACACAUGCAAGUCGAACGCGCCUGUCCUCUGGGUUUCUGGGGGGUGGGUGAGUGGCGAACGGGUGAGUAACACGUGAGUAACCUGCCCCCUUCUUCGGGAUAACGGUCUGAAAGGGCUGCUAAUACCGGGUAUUCACUGGUCUCCGCAUGGGGUCUGGUGGAAAGGUUUUUUUCUGGUGGGGGGUGGGCUCGCGGCCUCUCAGCUUGUUGGUGGGGUGAUGGCCCACCAAGGCUUUGACGGGUAGCCGGCCUGAGAGGGUGACCGGUCACAGUGGGACUGAGAUACGGCCCAGACUCCUACGGGGGGGAGCAGUGGGGAAUAUUGCACAAUGGGCGCAAGCCUGAUGCAGCGACGCCGCGUGAGGGAUGGAGGCCUUCGGGUUGUGAACCUCUUUCGCCCGUGGUCAAGCCGCGACGUGGGUCGUGGUGAGGGUAGUGGGUAAAGAAGCGCCGGCUAACUACGUG
rnacentral:rRNA from 1 species